AGCAGCCGCGGUAAUUCCAGCUCCAAUAGCGUAUAUUAAAGUUGUUGCAGUUAAAAAGCUCGUAGUUGAAUUUCGAGAUCAAAUUGUUGGUCGUGCCUCGGUACGUACUGGCAUUAUUGAUUUCUCCCUUCUGAAGAACCACGAUGUCAUUAAUUUGGUGUCGUGGGGAAUCAGGACCGUUACUUUGAAAAAAUUAGAGUGUUUAAAGCAGGCUCACGCUUGAAUACAUUAGCAUGGAAUAAUGAAAUAGGACGUUUGAUUCUAUUUUGUUGGUUUCUAGGAUCGACGUAAUGAUUAAUAGGGAUAGUUGGGGGCAUUAGUAUUCAAUUGUCAGAGGUGAAAUUCUUGGAUUUAUUGAAGACUAACUACUGCGAAAGCAUUUGCCAAGGAUGUUUUCAUUAAUCAAGAACGAAAGUUAGGGGAUCGAAGACGAUCAGAUACCGUCGUAGUCUUAACCAUAAACUAUGC
rnacentral:rRNA from 1 species